CGUAAAUGGGCUCAUAUCCUAUAGAGGGUUAUGUACACUUUAGCAGAAAUUUUAAUAAUUUGAUAAGAAGAGAAAUAGACUGGAUCAGAAGAGGACUCUCCUGACCAGCCUGGGAAAAGUCUGAGCAGAGUCUGCAGGGGCAAAUACAACUUACUCAGACAAAAAAGGCUGUCAGCAGCAAGUCUAGGCAGAAGCCAGGAGGAGUUAGGAACAGACUAUAAGAAAUGGUUGGUCUGGAGGAAAAAGGGUAAAACUUAUGAGGGCCCUUGUGAAUUGAUGAAUAUGAAGACACUAAGAAAGCAGAAAUAGAACUGAGAAGAAUGAAAUAACUGUCUCUACCUUUCUCGAAUUGUCUAAUAUGGAAAGAAUGAAAGACAGCUAAUAAGCAACUCUCUGCAAGAAGACAUAUGGCUUAGGUUCUGCUGAGCUAUUGGUGAUUUGAUUCCAUGCAUAUGUAUUCACUACUGAAUCUACUUGGAGAGAGUCAAACACAGAAUCCCUUUGAAUUUAAUGGCCAUUCCAGGUGAUUUGAACAGCCAAAUAAGAAACAGGUCCUCUUCAAUGUACAAUCUGCCAAGUAUGAAGUCUGAAUGACCAUCAUUAUUAUGUAUUUAAUGUGCAUAGAAAAUCUAUCUGCAACCUUCCAGAGUGUACCAGAAGUUUGGAAUGUACAUUAUUAUUGGCUCCAUCUCAAACCACUCAUAAAUCAAAGAAAAUAGCAGUUCCAGAGGAAUCAUCAUAGAGGCUUCUAGGCCCCCAUGCUGUGUGAACCUGGUGAGAAAGGGAAGUCUGCUCUCACUGGACACUGGAACUGUUUGUCUCUGUCUCUGCUGUACUUUCCCUGCCUCUACCUCACUUAGUAAAGAAAUCAUCUUUGCUUGAUAACUAAAACAACCAAUAAGGCUGAGAAAGGGGAAAACCCACAUCUGGAUUUAAAUACAAGGUAUUGGGCCAGCUGCUGGGGAUUAAACUUUGAACAAAACAGAUAGAAUCUAUGUCCUCAUGGGAGUGGCUAAUGGGAGAGUCGGAACAAAAAAAUAGCCAAGGAUAAUCCAGCAAAUGAUUUGGUGAAUGCUAUCAAAGAGAGAAAUACACAUGCUCUGGGAACACCAAACAGAGUCUUGCUCUUGUUGCCCAGGCUGGAGUAUGAUGGUGCGAUCUCAGUUCACUGCAACCCCUGCCUCCCAGGUUCAAGUGAUUCUCCUACCUCAGCCUCCUGAGUAGCAGGGAUUAUAGGUACAAGCCACCACACCCGGCUAAUUUUUAUAUUUUUAGUAGAGACGGGGUUUCACCACAUUGGCCAGGCUGGUCUCGAACUCCUGACCUCAGGUAAUCUGCCCCUCGGCCUCCCAAAAUGCUGGGAUUAACAGGCAUGAGCCACAGCACCUGGCUGACUUUGCCUGUUUUAUAAUUUCACACAAUAAAAUCAUGCACUGUGCAUUUCUUUGUAUUGUCUCCUUUCACUCAGCAUAAUGUCUGUGUGAUUCAACCCUGUGGUGAUGUGUCAUUUUUUUAAAAAAAAUUAAGAUAUUUUAUUAUAUGAACAUACCAUAAUUUGUUUAUUCAUUUGGUGAACAUUGUGUUGAUGCCAGGUUUGGGCCAUUAUGAAUAAAGCUGCUUUGAAUGUUUAUGUACAAGUCUUUUGUGUACACAUGUGUUUUUAUUUCUCUUGAGUAAACACCUGGGAGUGGGAUUGCUGGGUUUUAUGCUUAGGUAUGUUUUUGACUUUGUCAGAAACUGCUAAACUGCUUUUCAAAGUAGUUGUACCAUUUUACACUCUCACAGGCAAC
rnacentral:lncRNA from 1 species